ACGCACGCUGGCGGCGUGCUUAACCCAUGCAAGUCGCACGGAAAGGCCCUGCUUGCAGGGUACUCGAGUGGCGAACGGGUGAGUAACACGUGGGUGAUCUGCCCUGCACUUCGGGAUAAGCUUGGGAAACUGGGUCUAAUACCGGAUAGGAACCAUCUUUAGUGUGGUGGUUGGAAAGUUUUUUCGGUGUAGGAUGAGCUCGCGGCCUAUCAGCUUGUUGGUGGGGUAAUGGCCUACCAAGGCGGCGACGGGUAGCCGGCCUGAGAGGGUGUACGGCCACAUUGGGACUGAGAUACGGCCCAGACUCCUACGGGAGGCAGCAGUGGGGAAUAUUGCACAAUGGGCGCAAGCCUGAUGCAGCGACGCCGCGUGGGGGAUGAAGGCCUUCGGGUUGUAAACUCCUUUCGCUAGGGACGAAGCUUUGUUGUGACGGUACCUAGAUAAGAAGCACCGGCUAACUACGUG
rnacentral:rRNA from 1 species